rnacentral:misc_RNA from 1 species
AAGUCGUAACAAGGUUUCCGUAGGUGAACCUGCGGAAGGAUCAUUAACACGUAUCCACGUUAUCAACCAAUGAGAAUUUGUUUUCACCUCUCCCUUUGCAAAUUAGAAUGAAUUGGAACCAGUUUGAGGGAAUUGAUGUGGACUUUCUCGAAAGUCGGCCUUCCUGGUAUAUCUGUGCGAGAGAAAUCUCAAACUAACAAUUGUAUCUUUUAUGCGAGGCACCAAUUUCUUUCAAUUACUUUGAUCUCACAUCAUGAUCCGAGGUAAUCGAGAGAGAAACCAAUUAUAACAAACCAUUUUCACCACCUUUUUGCUAGUUGACUUUUUAUCUGUGAUUGUUUUGCGCAAGCAAUGUAGUCGCACGUUUAAUUACUUGAACGUUAAAAAAAUACAACUCUUAGCAAUGGAUAUCUUGGUUCUC